UUUUUUUUCUUUCUUUUUAAAUGAAGGUGUUAUCUUAUGCAUAUAUCGUUUAUGAAACGAAUUUGUGUAUAUCAUACGCUUAGGUUAGUCAUUCAGUUAUCAGGAAUAUAUACAAAUAUUAAAUUAGCAAUAUUAAUGAAAUUUAGAAAGAAAGAUGAUGAAGAAGAAGAAAAAAUUAUGUUGUAACUGACGUAUAAUUUGGCCAUUUCAUCAAUUAAGUGGGCGUUAACCGCCAGACAACUAACAAUACUAACAAUAACAGUUCAUCGAAAUUUCCAUAAUCAUAGGAGUGUGUACACAUCAUAUUUUAAACAAAAAUAUUUUUACUAAACUAAUACUUUAAUUAAUGAUAUUUGAUAAUGAUCAAGUCAUUAAGUUUAUCAUUUUUGGUAUGUUUUUUUUCAUCGUUGGUUGGCUUUUUUUUGAAUAUGUGGAUUAAGGAAUUAAAAUAAAUGUAAAACAUUUUUUAAGAGAAAUCGUGUCUGACCGAACAACCAAAACUUAUAUAAUCGAUGAAGUUAUAUGUUUCGGUUCAUCUUGAGUCAUUUUUUUUCUUUCUUUCUUCUUCAAAAGUAUAUUCACUUUAAACGGUUAAAGAUUUUUUGACGUCACACUAAUCACUUGACAGAUAUUUUUCUUCUUCUUUUGUUAAAAUAAAAGUAAACAGCAAAAUGUCAGAUUUCGUGAAGACGAGAAAAAUGUUUUUUUUUGUAUUUUUUCGGAUGAUAAAAUUUCAAAUGUUGUGUAUACUUAUGCCCCUCGCACACAAUAUGAGUGACUUCAUAUUAAAAUUGCCAUACGAUUUGACAGAUAAACUGUCAAACAAAUAGUGAGAAUGUUGAAAUGUAUCGAAUAUUGGCUAUAUUGUGUACGAUUGUGUAUGAUUGUGACACGGGCAUAACCAUUAUUGUCAAAAGAAAUAUUU